CGGGAAGUAGCUCAGCUUGGUAGAGCAUUUGGUUUGGGACCAAGGGGUCGCAGGUUCGAAUCCUGUCUUCCCGA
rnacentral:tRNA from 1 species